GAAGCCGAAUCGAAACAACAAAAUGAUGAAAACGCGAACAAACUCAUAAGAAGCAAACAAAUCACCACAUCAAAGGAAACAUAAAUCCAACAAUGAUUACACAUCAAGCAAUGAUAAUACAUCAAGUCAAAAUAGCCAUGUCAACAAGUAUGAAAACGAGGAUUUAAAACAGAAAGAAUGAAGAAAAAGUAACACUGGCUACCACACAGCGGAA
rnacentral:lncRNA from 1 species